AUCCGACACCAAACCUACUUACCUGUGGACCAUAUGGCCUCAUAUUUGCUUCAACAAGUUUUCAACAAGUCCUUCAUAUACCUGUCAGGUCUCCAGCUUCUACUAUCAUCUUGGAAAAUAUCCAUAUUUCCAGGCCUUUGUGGCAUACUUGCUGGUUCUUUAUAUCGGUUGAAUAUCCUUGGCUGAAUAUCCUUGGCAUCCGCAAGGCAAAGUUUCCUGAGUUUAUUGACUUCAUUCUUUACCUCAUCCAUUGGGAGCUCUCCUCCAGCUCCUAGCGGGAAUGUCCUCGGAAAUUCGUCAACCCAUCGCCAGCCAGAGGUAAGUCUCGUUGCUCUCCUUUCCACUGCUGCCAUCUGUUUUCGGCUCUUAUAUCCUCACCGCCUCUUCGUCAUUGGCCUUCAAUGUUUUUUGAGUUUCAGAGAUCUUACCCAGCCCCAGCCCUGGCCCCAGCCCCAGCCCCGGCCCCAAUGCCAUCAAGUGUCGAGCCAUCCGAGGAAGCCAUAAACACGCUGGUCUCAAUGGGUUUCGACCUGAAUGCAGCUAGACAGGCUCUGGUUCACGCCAGAAACAAUAUCAAUGCAGCCACCAACAUCCUCCUCGAAGCACAGUCCCACUAACUAGAAAGGUGGAUCUAACUUCAAUGCCAAAGAAUCCAAUGAAAGGGACUGUUCUACUAUCUGGUAUGGAAUAUUUCUGAUGCGAGAGCAACGAAGACUGAUGAUCUACCACCGACCCACAUGGUUCUGCAUCAAUGAAAAGCUGAUAUGUCCACACCAUAUAUGAUCCGGGGCAAAUGAUUUGCGGUCUCUCUUCCUUUUGUCUUCUUAAGUGUUUGGACAGAGUGUAUAGCUUGUGUAGCCACAUUGUUCAGAGUCUUCCCCUUCGGAGUUGGAAGAUAGAUUGUGAAUCUUAUACUGUGAUCGAAUCUUACACUACGAUGCUCUGGAUUCUGUAA